rnacentral:tRNA from 1 species
GGGAGUGUAGCUUAGUGGUGGAGUUUGCCUAGCAUGUGCAAGGCCCUGGGUUCCAUCCCCAGCACUGCAA